ACUUUCAACAAAACCCUGGGUUGUG
rnacentral:piRNA from 1 species